UGCAUUAUGAAUCAACGCGAUUAUUAUUUCUGAUAAAUACAUCUAAGAUCGGGUGCAAUUUUACAUGUCACUUGGGUGCUAAGCGGAUGAAAAUAAUCAGGGGUGUAUGAUAAUUUAGCUUAUGCUUAUAUGAUAUACGUCAGUCGAGGAAAUAUAAAAUACGAAAACUCUCUGUACCACGGAAAUAAAGAAUAAAUGCCAUUCAACUACUACGAUAAACAUAAUAGGGAUAAAGAAAAAAAAAAAAAAGAAAGAAAAAAAUACAGUUGUAAUACUCAGAUGUAAUAUAAAUAAUCUAAUCGUCAUUUAUGAAAGAUAUUAUACAUCUAUAUGUGCAUAUAUAAUCGGUGUAUGUAUGUGUGUAAAUGUACAUAGGUAUGUACAUAUACAUAUAUGCAUAAACAUGCGAAAACGUGAAAUAUUAUAUAUGUACAUUAUAGUAUAUGACUAUUUUCUUCUAUGGAUAUUGUGAAUGAUUGAUGUGCGUGUUACGUCGUCCACGUUCAAGGCAUAUUGCAAUCGAUCUAAAGAAAAAUUGGAAGCAAAAUUAUCGUCAAAUAAAGUGUUAAAUUGAAACAAUCGAAUCAAGUGACGUUAAAGAAAAAUAUCUGAGAAUUUAUUUCAACAGAAUCAUUUGGUUUUCUUCGUUUUCCGAUACACGUAUACAAUUAGACAAAAGAUUGCUUUUCUUUUACAUUAGCUGCAUACAGCGCAUAAUUAGAUUAACAAAAAAUUCAUAACGAACAGCACCGCGAUAGCAGUGUGCCUUAACGAUGGCUAUCUCAGCACCGAGUUACGCUAAAAAAAAAAAAAUAAAUGAACUCAACUAAAAUACUAAAAAUAAUGAUGAAAUAAGUAAAUUAUAUAUAAAAAAAAAAAAGAAAAAACACAUAAAGCGUAUGAAACAAAUGUAUGAUGUGUAAGCCAAGUGCCUUGUGUUCUGGUAAAACUAGUCGUCGACCUCUAUCUACGAUAUAUCGAAAAAAAAGAAGUAAUACUAAUAUAGCAAUGAUGACAACAGCAACUACAACAACAACAACAACAGCAACAACAACAACAAUAAUGAUGAUGAUGAUGAUAAUAAUAAUAAUAAUAACAACAAUAACAAUAAUACUGAACUAUUAAAAGCUUGAUAAAUUAAAAAUGAAAUAUAAAAAUCAAUUUAGUAUAUUGUGUAAGUACUUGCCAAAAUCAGUGCAAGACGUACAGAUGUGUGUUUUCAAUGGGGAGAUCAUGUAAUACCCUUUUCCAAUGCCUGGACCCAUACCCAUGUACCCAUGAGGGUAAAAAUAUAGAAAGAUUGAAAAAUCGAAGGACUACAAGAUCGAAUUUUCAAAGAAGCCAUAACUCAAUUUAUGGAAUUUGAAAAUUUUGAAACUCGAAAUAUGGAGAAGUACAAGAUUAGAAAGGUUAGGCUAUAGACUGCCAAACUGUAGAAUCGUUAGAAUUUUUCUCGACAAUGUAGAAUCGCAUAGAGAUUCUCGAUUAUUACUCUGUUUCACGUUUUGAUCUUUCUGUAUUUCGACGAUCUAUAUUUUCAAUAUUCUGCGCUUGAACUUUCGACGUUUUAAAAUUUUCGCAUUUAUGAAAAUUCGAUAUUCCGGUCCUUUUAUCAAGCGGUAAUUCUAGUUUUUUUUUUUUGUUCUUUUCUUUUCUUCUUACCUCUACCAGAAAUUAAAUCUAAUGAAACCUGAAAUUUCGUUCAAAUCAUUUAUCGCAAACGCACAUCUAAAUACGUAACGUUUUUGCUUCCAACGCGUUUUCACACUUGACACGUCACACUUACUGGCGAAAAAACCUGCUGCGAGGCUCUACAUUAAAAUCCAUCUACCUAAUCGCAUAACGAGUGAAAACCUCCGCAGGUAUAAAGUAUUUUUAUGCAAAAAUCGUUGCACCUAAGUCCCUGCCCUUAUAAAUGGAUCGUGAGUGUUUCUAUUAUGUGCCCAAGCGUGUGUUGCAGUGAAAUGAAUUCACCAUAUUAUAUAUCUUCACGGUUGAUAAAGUUAUACCUAUUUACUAUGUAAGCUAUAGAACAAUUAAGGUGUUAAAUGAGUUCUGAAUCAUCGACAGUUGAAUUACUUGUAAUAAAUUACACACUUAUAUCGCGUAUCUGUAACUCAGUAAGUGGAGUGACAAGUGAGUGCUAGCCUGCUAGAUCAGUCUAGAAGAAUGAAUGCGUGCUAUUUUCAUUUUAUUCUUUCUUUCUUUCUUUCUUUCUUUCUUUCUUUCUUUCGUUCUUACUUUCCUUAUUCCCUUACUUUCUCUCCUAUCACUUUCUCAUUUCUGUAAGUGAAACACGAGGAUAAACAUUUAGCAUAGGUACCCCUGAACAAAGGGGUCUUUUUCAUUCAAUGCAGGAAUUGUUUCCGCGUUGUGAUAAAAUAUAUUUAAUGUCUUUUCUAAUCGUUAUUCUAUGUUUAAAAACAUAACCAAAAGGAAAAAAAAAAACCUAAUAAAACAUUGAUAAUAUAAAAAUUGAACAAAUUAAAUAAAUGAAAAUUAUACUAUUACUAUAUAUAUUAUAUAUAUACCAUAGCUAUCUUUACAAGGAAUUGAUGUACAUAAUUACGAUUCUGUAGUCACUAAGAAUGCUGAGAGCUUUUGCGAGAUGACAGACCCUGAAAUGCACAUGUGGGUGUAUUUUUGUUACCGUUACUUUAUUUUAAACUUGCAUUCAAUUACGUAAUGAAUUCAUAAUCAUUAUUGUUAAUUUUACUAUUAUUAUUCUCAUUUUUGUUGUUGCUGUUGUUGUUGUUAUUGUUGUUGUUGUUGUUGCUGCUGCUGCUGCUGCUGUUAUUCUUACUAUAAUUUUCACCACUCUCCGUACUACUACUACUACUAAUUGCUAUCAUUAUUGGCAAUGUAUUUAAAAUCUAAUACACAAUAAUAUUUUUAACUUCUCGCGAAUCUAUAGGUAUGUACUUAGGUGGGAGCUGAAAUUUGAUUAGAGAAGCGAAAAUAUUAAUUCUCUGCCGUACUUUUUGAUGAUUUGAAAAAAAGU